UUCCCAUAUUCUGCAUUGUAGUCUUACAAUCCUAAUUAAUUGAUUGAUUCGUUUGUGUUUUAACACGAUUCAAUCCUAAUUACAGUUUUCCAGCUAGGAUUUCAAAAGGGCAGGGUGCCAAUCCUGAAAAAGGGCAUUUAACGCGUGAUAUGAUAAUACUCCUCUUUCAAGACAUUCUUGCGUUCAAUAGCUGUUUUAAUGUUGA
rnacentral:lncRNA from 1 species